rnacentral:rRNA from 1 species
UGGCGACCGGCGCACGGGUGCGUAACGCGUAUGCAACCUACCUUUAACAGGGGGAUAACACUGAGAAAUUGGUACUAAUACCCCAUAAUAUCAUAGAAGGCAUCUUUUAUGGUUGAAAAUUCCGAUGGUUAGGGAUGGGCAUGCGUUGUAUUAGCUAGUUGGUGGGGUAACGGCUCACCAAGGCGACGAUACAUAGGGGGACUGAGAGGUUAACCCCCCACACUGGUACUGAGACACGGACCAG